rnacentral:rRNA from 1 species
GAUGAACGCUGGCGGCGUGCCUAAUACAUGCAAGUCGAGCGAACAGACGAGGAGCUUGCUCCUCUGACGUUAGCGGCGGACGGGUGAGUAACACGUGGAUAACCUACCUAUAAGACUGGGAUAACUUCGGGAAACCGGAGCUAAUACCGGAUAAUAUAUUGAACCGCAUGGUUCAAUAGUGAAAGACGGUUUUGCUGUCACUUAUAGAUGGAUCCGCGCCGCAUUAGCUAGUUGGUAAGGUAACGGCUUACCAAGGCAACGAUGCGUAGCCGACCUGAGAGGGUGAUCGGCCACACUGGAACUGAGACACGGUCCAGACUCCUACGGGAGGCAGCAGUAGGGAAUCUUCCGCGAUGGGCGAAAGCCUGACGGAGCAACGCCGCGUGAGUGAUGAAGGUCUUCGGAUCGUAAAACUCUGUUAUUAGGGAAGAACAAAUGUGUAAGUAACUAUGCACGUCUUGACGGUACCUAAUCAGAAAGCCACGGCUAACUCCGUG